rnacentral:rRNA from 2 species
UCCUGCUCAGGAUGAACGCUGGCGGCGUGCCUAAUACAUGCAAGUCGAGCGAAUGGAUUGAGAGCUUGCUCUCAAGAAGUUAGCGGCGGACGGGUGAGUAACACGUGGGUAACCUGCCCAUAAGACUGGGAUAACUCCGGGAAACCGGGGCUAAUACCGGAUAAUAUUUUGAACUGCAUGGUUCGAAAUUGAAAGGCGGCUUCGGCUGUCACUUAUGGAUGGACCCGCGUCGCAUUAGCUAGUUGGUGAGGUAACGGCUCACCAAGGCAACGAUGCGUAGCCGACCUGAGAGGGUGAUCGGCCACACUGGGACUGAGACACGGCCCAGACUCCUACGGGAGGCAGCAGUAGGGAAUCUUCCGCAAUGGACGAAAGUCUGACGGAGCAACGCCGCGUGAGUGAUGAAGGCUUUCGGGUCGUAAAACUCUGUUGUUAGGGAAGAACAAGUGCUAGUUGAAUAAGCUGGCACCUGACG